UCUUUGUAGUAAUACAAGGCAGACGGCUCAGUAACGCGUAGUCAACCUACCCUAUGGACGGGAAUAAUCUCGGGAAACUGAGCAUAAUACCCGGCGUACCACCAUUCCUGGAAUGGUUGGUGGUUAAAAUGAUUCGUCGCCGUAGGAUGGGACUGCGACCUAUCAGCUUGUUGGUGGGGUAAAGGCCCACCAAGGCGAUUACAGGUACGGGCUCUGAGAGGAGAAGCCCGGAGAUGGGUACUGAGACACGGACCCAGGCCCUAUGGGGCGCAGCAGGCGAGAAAGCUUUGCAAUGUGCGAAAGCACGACAAGGUUAAUCCGAGUGAUUUCUGCUAAAGGAAUCUUUUGCCAGUUCUAAAAAUACUAGUGAAUAAGGGGUGGGCAAGUUCUGGUGUCAGCCGCCGCGGUAAAACCAGCACCUCAAGUGGUCAGGAGGAUUAUUGGGCCUAAAGCAUCCGUAGCCUGCUCUGUAAGUUUUCGGUUAAAUCUAUAUGCUCAACGUAUAGGCCGCCGAAAAUACUGCGGUGCUAGGAAGUGGGAGAGGUAGACGGUACUUGAUAGGAAGGGGUAAAAUCCUUUGAUCUAUCGAUGACCACCUGUGGCGAAGGCGGUCUACCAGAACACGUUCGACGGUGAGGGAUGAAAGCUGGGGGAGCAAACCGGAUUAGAUACCCGGGUAGUCCCAGCUGUAAACGAUGCAGACUCGAUGAUGCAUUG
rnacentral:rRNA from 1 species